rnacentral:rRNA from 1 species
UACGUAGGAGACGAGCGUUGUCCGGAGUUACUGGGCGUAAAGGGUGCGCAGGUGGCGGCGCGCGUGGGGGGUGAAAUCGCCCGGCUUAACUGGGCGGGGGCCUUCCAGACGGCGUGGCUUGAGCAGCGGAGGGGGACGUGGAAUUCCGGGUGGAGCGGUGAAAUGCGUAGAGAUCCGGAGGAACACCGACGGCGAAGGCGGGUUGCUGGGCCGACACUGACGCUGAUGCGCGAAAGCCAGGGGAGCGAACGGG